ensembl:lncRNA
ACACUAUCAGUGAUUUGUUAAGAAUUCAAGACACACUUAACCAGUAUGACUACCACAGCAUUCUGCAGUGAUACGCCAUCCCAUCUGGUUUGGGCUUAGUGGGACACACCCUUGCGGGGCCCCUGUGUUGAGGAUCAGCGUAGUGGAGGUGUUGUUGCCUACCUUCACCACCUGGGGGUGACCCGACAGGAAGUCCAGGACCCAGUUGCAUAGGGUGGGGUUCAGAACCAGGGUCCUGAGCUUAAUGAUGAGCUUGGAGGGACUAUGGUGUUUGAAGGCUGAGCUGUAGUCAAUGAACAGCAUUCUUACAUAGGUAUUCCUCUUGUCCAGAUAGGAUAGGAUAGGUAAUGGUGAUUGCAUCAUCUGUGGAUCUAUUGGGGCGGUAUGAAAAUUGUAGUGGGUCUAGGGAGUCGGGUAAGGAGCUACACACAUACUAAGGUUCAAAGGGUAAAAGUUCAGGGGGUAAAGGUUUAGAGGGUAAAGGUUUAGAGGGUAAAGGAUCAGAGGGUAAAGGAUCAGAGGGUAAAGGAUCAGAGGGUAAAGGAUCAGAGGGUAAAGGUUCACAGGGUAAAGGAUCAGAGGGUAAAGGUUCACAGGGUAAAGUUAAAAUGGAAGGACAGGGAAGGAGGUAUAGAAGCAUUGAGACAAGAAGCCAUAUAUUGAGACAAGAGGCCAUAUAUUGAGACAAGAGGCCAUAUAUUGAGACAAGGGGCCAUAUAUUGAGACAAGAGGCCAUAUAUUGAGACAAGGGG